rnacentral:rRNA from 1 species
UACCGUGAAAAAAUUAGAGUGUUCAUGGCCCAGAAUUUUACCGUGAAAAAAUUAGAGUGUUCAAAGCGGGCAGAUAUUUUUCCUGCCACCGAAUACAUUAGCAUGGGAUAAUGGAAUAGGACCCUGACCUCCUAUUUUCAGUUGGUUUUGUUUACMGCGAGGUUAUAUCAGGGUAAUGAUUAAUAGGGAUAGUUGGGGGCAUUAAUAUUUAAUUGUCAGAGGUGAAAUUCUUGGAUUUAUGAAAGAUUAACUUCUGCGAAAGCGUUUGCCAAGGAUGUUUUCAUUAAUCAAGAACGAAAGUUAGGGGAUCGAARACGAUCAGAUACCGUCGUAGUCUUAACCAUAAACGAUGCCGACCAKCGAUWARGAGACGUUGAAUACAAAACACCGCCGUUAAUCCUUUCGGGGGUUAAUGGUUGGUGAAUGACUCCCCUAGCAGCUUGUGAGAAUGGCACCGGUGAAUGACUCCCCUAG